GGAGGAUCCAAGCGUUAUCCGGAUUUAUUGGGUUUAAAGGGUGCGUAGGUGGUUCUUUAAGUCAGGGGUGAAAGACGGCAGCUUAACUGUCGCAGUGCCCUUGAUACUGAAGAACUUGAAUACACUAGAGGUAGGCGGAAUGUGACAAGUAGCGGUGAAAUGCAUAGAUAUGUCACAGAACACCAAUUGCGAAGGCAGCUUACUAUGGUGUUAUUGACACUGAGGCACGAAAGCGUGGGGAUCAAACAGGAUUAGAUACCCUGGUAGUCCACGCCCUAAACGAUGAAUACUCGAUGUUGGCGAUAUACGGUCAGCGUCUAAGCGAAAGCGUUAAGUAUUCCACCUGGGGAGUACGCCCGCAAGGGUG
rnacentral:rRNA from 1 species